rfam:Salmo salar isolate Sally breed double haploid chromosome ssa10, whole genome shotgun sequence.
CCCCGGUGAACAUUCAACGCUGUCGGUGAGUUUGAGCUAAAUUGACAAAAACCAUCGACCGUUGAGUGUACCCUGUGG